rnacentral:lncRNA from 1 species
GGACAUGUCUGAAACUGCAGAGAAACCAUGCCUUGCUGUGUCCUGGCCUCUGCGUGACCACCUUCCCUUCUUACACAUGGUAAGGUCUUUGUUCCAGAUGAAAAGAAUCUGGAAGCCACCUCCAGAAGGAGAUGCUAGCACCCCCAAACUCUGCAACAAUGGAAAGUUUUGUUUCUUCUGGUUGACUCAAAGGUUCAGAGGCUUUCUCCACUUUUCUUUAUGGUACACGGAGCUGUGCACUUGAACCUCUUGCUGGUGAUUGUACCCAGAUGAUUUCCUACAGAGGUGCUAUUGCUACCAGGGUAUCAAUUGCUGUCCUAAUGUGGACAUUUGCUCUGAUCAUGUGUAACAAUCGAAGAGAGAAAUAAGUGCCUCAGGGCAGG